CAAUAGCGUAUAUUAAAGUUGUUGCAGUUAAAAAGCUCGUAGUUGGAUUUCUGGGAGAGUGCCAAUGUCCGCCGAAGUGCGUGCGCAGCGGCGCUCUUUCAUCCUUCUGUUAACGGCUCUCGGCAUUCAUUUGCUGGUGUCGGGCUCAGAUAUUUUACCUUGAAAAAAUUAGAGUGUUCAAAGCAGGCCUAUGCUCUGAAUAGGUUAGCAUGGAAUAAUAGAAUAGGACUUCGGUACUAUUUUGUUGGUUUCUAGGACCGAAGUAAUGAUUAAUAGGGACAGUUGGGGGCAUUCAUAUUCCAUUGUCAGAGGUGAAAUUCUUGGAUUAACGGAAGAUGAACUACUGCGAAAGCAUCUGCCAAGGAUGUUUUCAUUGAUCAAGAACGAAAGUUAGGGGAUCGAAGACGAUCAGAUACCAU
rnacentral:rRNA from 1 species